AGUUUCGCAAGGCAUGCUGGGUAUGCUACCCUUCCUUUUUUGGCGGUUUUACCUCGUAGUAACUUUCCAGAAAAACGAAAGGGUUAUGAUCAGAGAUUAUGUCAGUAAGUAUGAUAUUGUUUAAUUGACAACAUUGGCUGUGAAGUAUUCUCAUUUAAAUCACUGAUAAGCUGUGGUAUCGUUGUAUCCGAAUUCGAAUCGGAUAUAAAUACUCGUGACAAGCAUGGUUCGGUGGCAGCGAAUGCUAUGCUAUCGUCCAUAAACGUUGAAUAUACUAUUCAGAAAUCAGCAACGUUUAAGACGGUUUGUAGGUAGAGGGUAAAGUUUGCAGCGAAGGCUUUGCCGAUUAUUUUACUGUGAGGUUAACAUUACCAAAGUACAUUGUUAAGUUGGAUGUUAAGGUGUCAGCUGGCAUGGUAAGAGGCAUGAAAUCGCGGCCACUCUGCUUCGUUGUGGUGACACACGCAUCGGAUUAAACUGCAUGUAAACGUACUAGUACGUCUAAACUAACUAGUAUGUUUACAUGCAUGGCAUAUCAGAGAAUUCUGUCAGUUCGGUCGCGGCGCAACGAAUGAAUAAAGAUCGUUAGCACUCUGAAAAACAGAUGACAGAUGUGCCCUCAGUUACUACUUUAUUACCUCGUUGAUUUCCAACGUUUAGGAAAACAUGUACUUUUAAUUCACCCUUGGGUGAAAUCGAAGCGUAGUGUGUACUGAAUGCGUGUUGAUGAUGAUGCAUAUGAAUUGCAACUUACACGUCUUCCAAACCUUUUCAGUACCCUGGCACAUGCUUUGUCCAAUGGACCAUGGAAGGGACUUUACUUGGCUGACGAGGACGCACCUCACCAGUAUCAGAGCAACAGCUGUGGGGUGUUUAUGCUGAUGUACGCAAUGUAUUCUACCCUCAAAAGCAAUAUGAUUUCAGUGAGGUGAGUUCUUUCUAAUCUCAAUCAGAUGUGUAGCAUGAAAUAUAAGGCUUUUAAAAAUUUAGUCAUCCUUACUGGAGGCUACAAUUAACAUGCAUCAUAGGUCAUACACAUUACUUUGUCUUCAGGUACUGCACUUACGGGAGGAGAUGGCUACAUCUUCACAAUAAUUUACACUGCCAUAGUACACUGCUAAACAGUACUGUAACAUGGAUUUGUAUUGGGCUAUGAAGUCAUUUAAAGCAUAAUUUUACUUUUCAGGGGGACAUGCUCUCUAUCAGGAGGUGGUGGUUUGACAGCUGUUGGAGACCUUUAUGCUUGAAAGGCUAGCCCUGCAGAACUAGCUGGCUCCUUCUCACCCUCUCCAUCUCCCCAUCUCAGUCACACCUUCCAAUCACUAAGCAGUGAAAGCCCUGCAGGACUAGCUGGCACACCAAGCUCACCCUCUCCAUCUCCCCAUCUCAGCCACACGCUCCAAUCUGGCACAACAGAGGACAGGCCAUUCUUACCACCCGAAGUCCUUCAGCAAAUUGUACAAGAGACGCUGAGACUGGACAUGGCGAUGCUUGGCGUGUUCAACAGGAUUUCAAACACAUUCCGAGAACUUAUCAAGCCUCUCCAUCAUUCCAUAUAUAUAAAUGACAGUUUGGCAGGGGACAUUAAGCUUAAUAAAGACAAUCUCAUAUACAUAACGGUUAGAAAGAUGCACAACAAUGCAGGCUGUGUCAGUGGCCUUGCGCUACGCCUCAAAGGCUUCUCAAAAAAGAAGAAUUGGCCUAGCGCACCCCUGGUACUGAGGCACGUUGCAUAUGCCAGGUUUGUCAUAAAAGAUGUCUGCCUAGCAUAAUGUUCUUUUAUUACUCCUUUUUCGUUUUAUUUGGGACGUCUUUUUUUGCAAUCCCUUUCAUUUGUAAAUGUACAUACUACUGUAGUAAAUGUAUCUGCCCAGAAAUGCUGGUAUUUUAUUACUCCUUUCUUUUUUGUUUUUGUGACAAAUGCUAUACGAUGUAUGUAACAUACAUUUGUGCCUACGAUGUAUGUUGUAAGGUUAAUUGUUACAGAGCAAUUACUGUAUUUUGUCUUUAUUGAAAACAUUCAGUGGGAAAAGUAAGUGAACACUUGGAGUCAAAUGGCCUACUGUUUGAGCCUUCAUAGUGUCUGGUAACUGGAUUUGAACUGCAUAAUGUCCCAAGUGUUAUUUUAAUCUAUUAAUUAUUUAAUUUGGGCAUAUUCUUAAACUAUACCAAACAUCUCACUUAUACCUAAUACACUACCUAUACUAACCCAGAAGAUAAUGAACAUGAGAUCAUGGAGCCUCCCUCCCUGUAAUGAGGGGGAAUGAAGUUUGGGCCGAGAUUCGACACAUAAAAGUAAGCUAACAUUCUGUAGGCCUAGCUGGCUAACGUACCCGUAUUACGAGAUCGAAAAAGAAGGGGGCGCUAACGUCAGUUCUAUGCUGCCAAUGCUACUAGAUCGACGAAGAAGAACGGGGCGUUCCAGCCUGCGUAGACGAAAACGCCCAUCACACGAGAACGCCGGGGGGGCGUUUUAGUCUGCGUGAACGAGAACGCCCACGACACGGGAACGCCCAUUUGUGUCUGCAGUCGGAUGAUAUUGGCUAAAUCUGAGGCCAUGACUCUUAGCAGGAAACCGAUUGCUUACUCAGGGUAGGAUAUGAGUCCUUAGCCCAAGUGAAGGAGUUCAAGUACCUCGGGGUCUUGUUCGCGAAGGGUACUAUGGAGCGUGAGAUUGGCCGGAGAAUCGGAGCAGCGGGGGCGGUAUUGCGUUCGCUUUACCGCACCGUUGUUGCGAAAAGAGAGCUGAGCCGCAAGGCAAAGCUCUCGAUCUACCGGUCGAUCUUCGUUCCUACCCUCACCUAUGGUCAUGAUGAGGGUUGGGUGAUGACCGAAAGGACGAGAUCGCGGGUACAAGCGGCCGAGAUGAGUUUUCUCAGAAGGGUGGCUGGCGUCUCCCUUAGGGAUAAGGUGAGAAGCUCAGCCAUCCGUGAGGAACUCGGAUUAGAGCCGCUGCUCCUUUACUUAGAAAGGAGUCAGCUGAGGUGGUUCGGGCAUCUGGCAAGGAUGCCCACUGGGCGCCUCCCCUGGGAGGUGUUUCAGGCACGUACAGUGGGGAGGAGACCUCGGGGAAGACCCAGGACUAGGUGGAGAGAGAUUAUAUCUCAACACUGGCCUGGGAACGCCUCGGGAUCCCCCCGUCAGAGCUGGUCAAUGUGGCCCGGGAAAGGGAAGUCUGGGGCCCCCUGCUUGAGCUGCUCCCCCCGCGACCCGACCCCGGAUAAGCGGAUGACGAUGAGAUUUGAUGAGAUGAGUUGAAUAUCUCGUUUACGUUUAUAAAUUACACGCCUGGCGCUGCUAGCAUUAAGGCUCAAUCCUGAUUCAGCCCUUAACCCAAAAUCUAAACCCUACGCUACGCUGUUGCGCGUUCACGAGCAUAGAGUUGUCCCAUUAGUCGUUUUAUUGAGGGCUAAGGGGGAGAGCUAACCUCCCCUUGAAGUUAAGAUUUUCGCAAUGCUUGCAAUGCUACAGUUGUGAAAAAAAUGGAAAAUCAAGAAAAACCUAGGCAAGAUGGCGUGCAAAAAAGAUGCAACAGGAUCUAAAACAACAAAUGUAAGUGUUUUCUAUGUUGCGUUUUCUACAUAUUCCCAUAUCCCAUUUCCCACCUUUGAUGGCAUUAUCAUUAUUCUGUUAAAUGUAGACAUUUUCGUUAUAACAUGGAUAGCAAGUAUAACCACAAAAUCGCUAAUAUGCGCUAAUUGCUAGUUAGCGAACAUGCUAUAGCGAUCUUUACAACAUGGAUGAUGGUGUAUGCCAGUAGGCUACUGGACAUAUUCCCAUUUCCCAACAACAAUGAUAUCCAUAUGUUCCAUGUUCUAGGGACUCCAGGUUGAAGAUAAUUCCUUACCAAGUAAUGCAAUAGUUAGUUUUAAAAAUGCAUAUUAGCCUCGAGAAUGGUGGAUCAAUGUGAAGUCGAUUUUUACAAACCAGUGUUUUGUUUCAUUUAUUUUUGGUAGAAAUAUCUAUCUAUCCGUUUGUUUAUUUAUUUAUUAUACAUAACAUGUGGCCAUAUCACCCAGUUCUGCCAUAUAAUUCCUUCUCAUUUGUUAUUUUUUCUUUCAGAAGAUCAUUGAGGCCGCUGCCACCACAGAGCCCAUCCCUCCAUCUCAAGCACCUCCUCUGCACAGAUAUUGUAUCAAAAUAUCAAAAAAAUAUUAAAAAAAUAAAGAUCAAAACGACCACUAAUGAUGUGCUGUAACUGGGUCUUGAAGGGUUGUCAUUCCAUUGCGUAGUG